rnacentral:rRNA from 1 species
UACGUAGGAUCCAAGCGUUGUCCGGAUUUACUGGGUGUAAAGGGUGCGUAGGCGGGCAGGUGCGUCAGAGGUGAAAUCUCCCGGCUUAACUGGGAGGGUGCCUUUGAUACGGCUUGUCUUGAGUACGAGAGAGGAUGAUGGAAUUCUUGGUGUAGCGGUGAAAUGCGUAGAUAUCAAGAGGAACACCAGUGGCGAAGGCGAUCAUCUGGCUCGUAACUGACGCUGAGGCACGAAAGCGUGGGGAGCAAACAGG